rnacentral:lncRNA from 1 species
UCCAAAUUUAGUUCUUAAACAACUGGAGACCCAAUUCGAAAAAAAAUGCUAUCAAUUAGAUUUCUUUAUUGAUAGCCUCUCAGUAAAAUAUGAGCAAAAUACCCGGUUUAGAAUAUACAAAAAUCGCAGAGAGCUUAGGGAUUUAGUACACCAAAACCCAAAAGAUCAACUCGAACUAAAAAGUUUCAGGCAAGGAGGGGUCGUUACUGGCCUUUUGUUUUCCGAUGACGAGAUCAUUUUCUUGCGAUAAUUAAUGUCAGGGCGAUGUAUUGAAGGUGGUGAUUUGGAUGGGACCUUUUUCUUUUCUUUUGAUUAUGGCUAUGGCAGCAGCCAUGAAAGUGGUGUUGGUGCCAGCCAUCGAGGAGGAAGCCGAAGGUAUGAUAAUUUGGAGAAGAUGAGAGGCUUGGGGAGGGAGGUGGGUGUUUUCUAUAUUUUCUUUUAAAUAUUAAGUAUUUUCUUUUUUUCACUUGAAUUAGGACAUGUGUCACUACCUUAUUGGUGCGUGACAACACAUAUGUUUUGAAGAAUUAGUCAAGAAAAAAGUGAUGUGUCUUAGACAUAUUUUGAAAAGGUUAAGUGUGUAAGGUAAUUUUCGUGGUCAGAAAAUGGAGGGAUUUGGUCUAUAGUUUAGAGGGUAACUUAUGUAUUUUGCCUAAUAAUAAUAAUAAAAAUCUAAAAUAAAUUUGGGGCCUUCAAAUUUUGAGGGCCUAAGGCAAUGGCCUCACUGCCCAAAAGCCUUAGAGCCGCCCCUCAAACUAGGUCACUAACGGAGAUCACUUGUAUGUUUUAUAGAAUCAAAAUUUUGUCAUCCAAACGGAGGAUACAAAAGCUCCCUCUCAGUGGCGGAGUCAAAAUUUUGGUUAAGGGGUGUCAAAUAUAUAAAAGUAAACAUAUCAAAAAAUUAAGGGGAGUCAAUACAUAAUAUAUAUAUAUAUACAUAUAAUUUAUUUUUUUAUCUACCUAUACAACGUAUUUUCCGUGAAGGGGUGUCAUUUGAUACCCCUUCCUAUAAGGUGGCUCCGCUCGUGCUCCCUCUAAUGACCUAGCACAAACCGCUCUCUCGGGGCGCAGAAGAAAAGGUGGCAUCUAACUUGCAAAGUCCUAUGACCUCUUAUAUACAUAAAAUAAAGUAACUCACGCACAAAUGUUCUAUAAAUGCAGAAUAAUCAUUAAUAUAAAACAAAUACUCCUAUAAGCAGUGGCAGAACAAAGUAGAGGGAAGGGGGCUGAAUCCCCUUUGUUGAAAACUUGUACUGUGCAAAUAAAAAUGAAUAUUUUUGGUUAAUUGUAAGGUGUUGAAUCCCUUGAAAAAAAUAAAAAUUCUAGUGUAGUGGUAAAAGGAGUUCAAGGUUGCUUUAGGUCAUAAGUCUAAAUAUUCCAAGUUUAAAUACCAACUAUGAAAUCCAAUAAUUUUUCUGAAUCCCUUGUGAAAUUGUUUUGGCUCCGCCACUGCUAGAAGCUAUAUGAGUUAUAAAAAUAUAUAUAUAAAUAAGUACAAAUUAUGUGAUCAUCUCAUAGUUCAAAUAUUUUCAAAUUCAGGUUUCACCAUUUCACGUUAAUCAUAUAUUAAGUUUAUUCACCUAAGUAACUGAUCUCAUUUCAAAUCCUGAUUUUCAGGGCACCUUGCAUGCACAUCGAUUACUCCACGGGAUACAUGUUACCUCCCACUAGCAGAGGUACAGAGUAAUCCCACUAACAGAGGUAUAGAGUAAUUUCGCCACCAAGGCAAGAAUAGAUGAAAAGAAAUAACUUAGAGUUUUUUGCCUAAGCUUUGAACCGGAGACCUCAUGACCAAAACGUGGUUUGAACAAAACAAAUAUAAGAAACAUAUAAAGAAAUGGUCCAAAUAGUAGCCAGUAUUGGCAAAAUCUGUUAAACGUCUAGUUAUAUACAUUCAAGUCUGAAUAAAAUUGGAAAGUUUUGUUUCCCUUUUUAUUUUGUCUGUUGAGGAAUCACCAGAAAGCAGUGAUGGAAGGAAAAUCGUCAGUGGUGGCCAUGACGCACUGCGAGAAACGCAAUAAAAGGCCACCGAUCGUGCCAAGCAUGCCUUGUACAUCCUUCAUCCUCACUCUCGGCACGUUGUAAUCCUGCGCCUCCGUUCGUAGCGGCGGCGGCGGCGCUUCGACGCAAACCAUAUGCACUCAGGCGUGACUCACAUUCAUCUCUAUUUAUUAGUCCGACUGUCCUACCACGACCAGGAACUUCACAAUUAUCUUUAGAGCAUCUCAAUUACUAUGUCCCCAAGCGUUAAUCACUUCAAACAAUCUAUAUAUUCAAUCUGAUGAUGCUGAAUUGCUAAGUUACAGAAUUCUCCGG